rnacentral:rRNA from 1 species
AUACGGAGGGUGCGAGCGUUAAUCGGAAUUACAGGGCGUAAAGCGUACGUAGGCGGUUGGUUAAGUUAGAUGUGAAAGCACCGGGCUUAAUCUGGGAACUGCAUUUAAAACUGGCGAACUAGAGUUGAGUAGAGGGGAGUGGAAUUUCAGGUGUAGCGGUGAAAUGCGUAGAGAUCUGAAGGAACACCAGUGGCGAAGGCGACUCCCUGGACUCGAACUGACGCUGAGGUACGAAAGCGUGGGUAGCAAACGGGAUUAGAAACCCCAGUAGUCC